ensembl:lncRNA
GUAAAUUCUCUAAAGAACCCUAAAUAGCUGGCUCUCUGCAUAGGCAUCUACUGAGCACAGUGUCAUUCAGAUGCCUUUCGAUUGAUGAAAUACAACGUCAUCACUGCAUCCAAAUUUACUAGUAGCAAAAGUCCACUUCUGGUUCAAAGGCACAAUGUCAUCCCAGGAAUUUUUUUGAUGUAUAUUCGGGGAAAAUUACUAUUUGCCAACUUUAUUUUCAAUGGUUAUGGCACAUCUGCUAAGGAUCUUCAAAAGCAAACUGUGAAGACAAGGAGUGAUUAUCAUAUGGGAUAUUUCCUACCCAAUGACUUCAGGAUCCGGGCUCAACCUACUUCGUGUUUUGAAAAUGAG